rnacentral:rRNA from 1 species
AACGAACGCUGGCGGCAGGCUUAACACAUGCAAGUCGAGCGCCCAGCAAGGGGAGCGGCAGACGGGAGAGUAACGCGUGGGAAUCUACCCAUCUCUACGGAAUAACGCAUGGAAACGUGUGCUAAUACCGUAUACGUCAUUCGGGAGAAAGAUUUAUCGGAGAUGGGUGAGCCCGCGUUGGAUUCGCAAGUUGGUGGGGUAAAGGCCUACCAAGGCGACGGUCCAUAGCUGGUCUGAGAGGAUGAUCAGCCACACUGGGACUGAGACACGGCCCAGACUCCUACGGGAGGCAGCAGUAGGGAAUAUUGGACAAUGGGCGCAAGCCUGAUCCAGCCAUGCCGCGUGAAUGAUGAAGGCCCUAGGGUUGUAAAGCUCUUUCACCUGUGAAGAUAAUGACGGUAACCGGAGAAGAAGCCCCGGCUAACUUCGUGCCAGCAGCCGCGGUAAUAC